rnacentral:rRNA from 1 species
AACGAACGCUGGCGGCAUGCCUAACACAUGCAAGUCGAACGAGACCUUCGGGUCUAGUGGCGCACGGGUGCGUAACGCGUGGGAACCUGCCCUUAGGUUCGGAAUAACUCCCCGAAAGGUGUGCUAAUACCGGUUAAUGUCUUCGGACCAAAGAUUUAUCGCCUUUGGAUGGGCCCGCGUUGGAUUAGCUAGUUGGUAGGGUAAAAGCCUACCAAGGCGACGAUCCAUAGCUGGUCUGAGAGGAUGAUCAGCCACACUGGGACUGAGACACGGCCCAGACUCCUACGGGAGGCAGCAGUGGGGAAUAUUGGACAAUGGGCGAAAGCCUGAUCCAGCAAUGCCGCGUGAGUGAUGAAGGCCUUAGGGUUGUAAAGCUCUUUUACCCGGGAUGAUAAUGACAGUACCGGGAGAAUAAGCUCCGGCUAACUCCGUG